ACUGACACUGCCCGAUCGCCUUGGAAUCGCCCUAGACCAUCACAGACGCCGAGCUUCGGGUUCCCACGCCGCCCCUAAUCCCGCUUGAAGCAGCCCUGAGAAACUUCGCCCAUUCUCUCUCUCCAUACCACCCCCCAAAAAAUUUUCACCACCCCAACACUUCAAAACUAUUUUGUUUUAUUUUUCUUAUUAAUAUAAGAAGGCAGGAAUGUCAGGCCUCUGAGCCCAAGCCAAG
rnacentral:lncRNA from 10 species